UGUUAUGACCUAGAAAUCAUGGUGGAAGAGAUAUACAAGACCCGGUUAUUUUUUCAACUCUUUCCAUUCCUUUUGACAUCCGGCCUCUAACUGCAAUCUGUACGUGUCUCUUCACUAGAAUUACCAAUUGAAAAAAAACGUAACCCAAACCAAAUCGUCCAAAAAAACAUUUUUUUACCGCAACAACAAUAUCUACAUCUUUUUUCAUUCAUCCUCUUUCACCUAAACACUCAAUCAAUUGUUUUUUUUUCUUUUUUUUUUUUUUCCUCUAUCUAAUAAACCAAAUAAAUAAACAGUAAAAAAGAAAAAAAACAACCAACAGAAAAAAAUAGCGGGUGUGACGGUAAAUGUUACUGGACCGGGUUAAGUGGCCGGUGAAAGUUGCAAUCGACUGCGACACUAUUAUAUUAUCAUCAAUUUAUUUUAAAAAAAAAAUUAAUCAUCCAAACACCAAUAAGUUAAUCUAUGGAUAUACCUGAAUAAAUAUAAUGUCUCACGGCGUACAGCUAUAUACAGGUAUACUUCGAAGCUUAAAAUAAUAAAAUUGUCAAACAAGACACAAGCAUUUUAGUAUAUGUAGGAGGAAGGAAUACAAAUAAAAGGAAAAAGUCUAAGGAUCAAAUGAUGGCAUAUAAUAUGUAUAUAUAUAUAUAUAUAAAAGUGGUGCGAUGCAAGGACGUAAUAGAAUAGUGUGACGUAGGUAGGGGUGGUUCGAUAGAGCUCCAAGCACCAGAGCAGCUGAUUCGACUCUCCGGUACUCCGGGCCAGGGUCGCCAGACUAGACUCGGAUGUACAUACACUUGCUAUUCUACUACCAUCUACUCUUAACCCUCAAACCUCAACCCUCUAUGUAAUUAACAGAUAGUUUGUGUGGUUGUGUGGGUAACUUGGUCUUUGGUUGGGAAAGUCGCUUUCAGCUCAAAUGAACCGAGUAACUGUAGCUAAAUGUUACUAAAUCUCCAUUAAACGAUCCAUCAAGAUCAUAUCGCAGUCAAAGGUCUGGGUCAGAGACUAAAUUGUCUGUCCGUACAAUGUUAAUAUAAUUUAUCUCAUAGCCAUUUUUUUUUCUGUUUAACAUUUUUUUUUUUAUCGAAAAAUUUACUUUCUUUACCAUUCUUAAAUUUAAGAAAUAUUUCGACCUCUACAAUUUUAUUAUUAUUAUUAUUAUU